UGAGCAUCAGAACAAGAGAGAGAAGGAGCAGAGACACAGAGAAGCACGAUGGAAGAGUUCAAAUGGAUCAAAAUGUCUUUAUUUCUGAUACUGCUGCUUCACUUUACAGCUGCUACAGUAUCACCAUAUUACACCACGGACAUCAAGAGUGAAAUCCUGCUGGGGGAGGAGUUUGACUCUUCAGCUGUGUGUUCAUGUGUGCUGUCAAACAUCACCAUGAAUCCUGUCUGGUUUCUAAUAAACACCAUCUGAAGAAAACAAGCUGCAUUACUGCAAACACUUAUCUUAACCAACAAUCUUGUGAAAAUAAAAAAAAUAAAAACUUUUUGGUUGUUUGGCGUCUAUAGUCUAUAAUAUAAUCAAACAGUCUACCCCUAACCCUAAAAGUCAUUAUGAGGAAGUGACAUCAUCCUAAUUACAGGAAGUAGAUACAGCGUCUCUUGACUAAAGCACUAUUUUAGAAACAGUUCUGAGCAUCAGAACGAGAGAGAGAAGAAGCAGAGACACAGAGAAGCACGAUGGAAGAGUUCAAAUGGAUCAAAAUGUCUUUAUUUCUGAUACCGCUGCUUCACUUUACAGCAGCAGCUGGAAACCAUUUCCUCUCCUUCACUGUCAGAGCUGGAAAUGAAGUCACUUUGCUUUACUUCACUUUACUUUGAACAUGUGAUAGACGGUCAG